GGCAGCAUGGUGUAGUGGUUUAAGCAUUAGACUAUGGCUCUAGAGACCAGGGUUUGAAUUCUUGCUCAGCCA